AUUGAACGCUGGCGGCAUGCCUUACACAUGCAAGUCGAACGGUAGCAUGUCCUUCGGGAUGAUGACGAGUGGCGAACGGGUGAGUAAUAUGUAGGAAUAUACCUAUAGGUGGGGGAUAACUACUCGGAAGAGUAGCUAAUACCGCAUAACAUUUACGGAUUAAAGCAGGGGAUCGUAAGACCUUGUGCCAAUAGAAUAGCCUACAUCCGAUUAGCUAGUUGGUAGAGUAAAAGCCUACCAAGGCAACGAUCGGUAACUGGUCUGAGAGGAUGAUCAGUCACACUGGAACUGAGACACGGUCUAGACUCCUACGGGAGGCAGCAGUGGGGAAUAUUGCACAAUGGGGGAAACCCUGAUGCAGCAACGCCGCGUGAAGGAUGAAGGUUUUCGGAUUGUAAACUUCUUUGACCGGGGACGAAUUCUGACGGUACCCGGAAAACAAGCCACGGCUAACUACGUGCCAGCAGCCGCGGUAACAC
rnacentral:rRNA from 1 species